AAAAGCAGCAUCAUUGAAGGUGAAAAUCCUGUAGAUGAUAUGGACUACCAGUAUAUUUGUGAURCGGUUUCUAAGAGUCGAGUUGUUUGGGAAUGCAGCUCAAAGUGGGUGGUAAAUUCCAUCUAAGGCUAAAUAUGAGUGAGAGACCGAUAGCAUACAAGUACCGUGAGGGAAAGAUGAAAAGAACUUUGAAAAUAGAGUUAACAGUACGUGAAAUUGCUGAAAGGGAAACGUUUGAAGUUAGUUUUGUAUUCGUUGGAUCAGCUUYGRAAGGAGUGUAUUCYGAUGAUAAGCAAGUCAACAUCARUCUAUGAGUGYYGGAUAAGGGUYUUGAGAAYGUAGCAAUUCARUUGUGUUAUAGCUYRAGACUUGGAUACRRUGCUUUGGAYUGAGGAACGCGUAGUAAGCUUUGAGYGGAUUYGAAAGRAUCUCCUUACUAUGGAUGUUGGUGAAAUAACUUUAAGCGACCCGUCUUGAAACACGGACCAAGGAGUCUAACAUGCUUGCGAGUAUUAGGGYGUUGAAACCCGAAUGCGUAAUGAAAGURAAUCUAAGAUGUGAUCCGCAAGGUGCAACAUYGGCCGGUCYGGAUCAUUUAUGUGAAGGUACUGAGCAAGAGCAAGUAUGUUAGGACCCGAAAGAUGGUGAACUAUGCCUGGAUAGGGUGAAGUCAGAGGAAACUCUGAUGGAAG
rnacentral:rRNA from 1 species